UGGGGAGUAGGUUAACGGUAGACCUCGCGGCUCUGACCCGCGCAGUCCUGGUUCGAAUCCAGGCUCCCCAGCCA
rnacentral:tRNA from 1 species